UUUCCGUAGGUGAACCUGCGGAAGGAUCAUUAUUGUGAACCGGGGCGGCGCAAGCCGUCCCAAUCCAAACCCUCUGUGAACAACACUGCUGUCGGCGCAAGCCGGCGGCGACCUUUACACCUGUCGUGCUACGUCCAGAAAGUAAAACAAAAGAGUACAACUCUCAACGAUGGAUCUCUUGGCUCUCGCAUCGAUGAAGAACGCAGC
rnacentral:misc_RNA from 1 species